GAGAUAAUAGAAAUAACAACUCAAGGUUGGACUGAGUUAACCAUACAAAGUAUACAAGAUGAACUUUAUUAUGAUAUGUAUGAUUUAUAUAAUUAUUUAGAUAUUGGAGAUUAAAUAUGACUGAAUAUUGGCUAAGGCGAUAUGGUAGAAAUUACAGGUUAAAAAAGAUUAGAUAUCCAGAUAAAUUAAGUAAGCUUUUUAAAAUAUUAUAUAAAAGGUUAUGAUGAAUAAAAAUAAAAAUACUAAAAUCAAAAGAACUAAGAUAGAU